UACGGAGGGUGCAAGCGUUAUCCGGAUUUACUGGGUUUAAAGGGUGCGUAGGCGGCUUAUUAAGUCAUAGGUGAAAGGCAUCGGCUUAACCGAUGGAUUGCCUGUGAUACUGGUGAGCUUGAAUUGGGUUGAGGUUGGCGGAAUGUGACAUGUAGCGGUGAAAUGCAUAGAUAUGUCAUAGAACAUCGAUUGCGAAGGCAGCUGACUGGACCUUGAUUGACGCUGAGGCACGAAAGCGUGGGUAGCGAACAGG
rnacentral:rRNA from 1 species